rnacentral:sRNA from 1 species
UAUUCUGCCCAAGCGGGAAGGAUGAGAAGCUUCGACUAAGGUUCGAUUCGAGCGUUAGCGAGAAAGCGUUGCCGCAGGCAACGACCCGAAG